GUCCCCAUAGUUAAAUGGAUAGAACACGGCCCUCCGGAGGCCGAAAUCGAGGUUCGAAUCCUCGUGGGGGCA
rnacentral:tRNA from 1 species